GACGAACGCUGGCGGCGUGCCUAAUACAUGCAAGUAGAACGCACAGUUUAUACCGUAGCUUGCUACACCAUAGACUGUGAGUUGCGAACGGGUGAGUAACGCGUAGGUAACCUGCCUGGUAGCGGGGGAUAACUAUUGGAAACGAUAGCUAAUACCGCAUAAUAUUAAUUAUUGCAUGAUAAUUAAUUGAAAGGUGCCAUUGCACCACUACCAGAUGGACCUGCGUUGUAUUAGCUAGUAGGUGAGGUAACGGCUCACCUAGGCGACGAUACAUAGCCGACCUGAGAGGGUGAUCGGCCACACUGGGACUGAGGCACGGCCCAGACUCCUACGGGAGGCAGCAGUAGGGAAUCUUCGGCAAUGGACGAAAGUCUGACCGAGCAACGCCGCGUGAGUGAAGAAGGUUUUCGGAUCGUAAAGCUCUGUUGUAAGAGAAGAACGGGUGUGAGAGUGGAAAGUUCACACUGUGACGGUAUCUUACCAGAAAGGGACGGCUAACUACGUG
rnacentral:rRNA from 1 species